rnacentral:rRNA from 1 species
UACGUAGGGGGCAAGCGUUGUCCGGAUUUAUUGGGCGUAAAGCGCGUGUAGGCGGCCUGACAGGUCUGCUGUGAAAACUCGAGGCUCAACCUCGAGAUGUCGGCGGAAACCGUCUGGCUAGAGUCCGGAAGAGGAGAGUGGAAUUCCUGGUGUAGCGGUGAAAUGCGCAGAUAUCAGGAAGAACACCCGUGGCGAAAGCGGCUCUCUGGGACGGUACUGACGCUGAGACGCGAAAGCGUGGGGAGCGAACAGG